UACGCGAAUUCCCGAGAAGAGCUUAGUGGAUGGCGCUAUGUGAAACGCGUGUGCCCUUCUGGGCGCCUGGAGUCCUGACAAGUCUCUCUUGCGGGUCGAAAGAUUUCGUCACUCUGCUCCCUGAAACGACAGUGUUGCGGCAAGGCGUCUCCCAUUGUUUCAGGCGUGCAGCCUUGAUUUCCUUUUACGUCAACAGAUUCAGAACCGUACCAAAUAUUUCACCGUGAAGCAUAAAUAUGCCACUUAUCCACUGU